rnacentral:rRNA from 1 species
GACGAACGCUGGCGGCGCGCCUAACAUAUGCAAGUCGAACGGAGCUGAGAGAAGCUUGCUUUUCUUAGCUUAGUGGCGAACGGGUGAGUAACGCGUGAGUAACCUGCCCUGGAGUGGGGGACAACAGUUGGAAACGACUGCUAAUACCGCAUAAGCCCACGAUCCGGCAUCGGAUUGAGGGAAAAGGAUUUAUUCGCUUCAGGAUGGACUCGCGUCCAAUUAGCUAGUUGGUGAGGUAACGGCCCACCAAGGCGACGAUUGGUAGCCGGACUGAGAGGUUGAACGGCCACAUUGGGACUGAGACACGGCCCAGACUCCUACGGGAAGCAGCAGUGGGGGAUAUUGCACAAUGGGGGAAACCCUGAUGCAGCGACGCCGCGUGGAGGAAGAAGGUUUUCGGAUUGUAAACUCCUGUCGUUAGGGACGAUAAUGACGGUACCUAACAAGAAAGCACCGGCUAACUACGUG